AGCUUUGCACAGUGGCAGUAUCAUAGCCAAUGAGGUUUAUGUGAGGCGUGAUUAUUGCUGAUUGAUUUUCUAGAAAUUGCCAACCCCCCGUGCCCAAGACCUGCACCUUUUCUCUCAUUGCUCUGGGACAGCUUCUGUUCCAACUUUAGCCCUUCCCCAGUU
rnacentral:snRNA from 13 species